ACGGCAGGUUAGUGGUAGAAAGUACGGAUGUUGUGAAAUUAGUGCAGUAAAAGGAUAAAUAUGUAUUGCCCUUUCUGUGGAAUACAGAAUGACGUGCUUCCAAAGUUCUGCGGUUCAUGCAGAAAAAAUCUCGAGGUAUUAAAAGAGACACGACAGAAAACGCCCGUGUCAACGAACAUUACAGGGACAGGCGUGGGCUCAACACCUGCGCCCACUUUAAACCAGUUUUUGGAAUACCGAAAACAGAAAUGUAAGGAAAGAACAAACUUUUCUUUGGGCAAGAAAGGAGGAAGCAAACAUGAACAGAAGAAAGUACAGGUUAAUGUCGGUAUAAUGUCUCCGCAGAGUGGUUACUUAAAACCACAACGAGGGAAAACACUCCCCUUAUUCACUGACCCACAAAUAAUGGCAAAAGAUCUCCUUGUA